CCAUGGGAACCCGCCCCCUCUCCACCCCUCCUCCGGGGACUGAGCAAUCUGACUCUCCCGAGCCGGGAGGUGUUGCUCCAGUUGAGGUGCGCUGCGAAGGACUUUGGUUUGCAGAUGGUUGACCCGAUGAAGUCGGAAGCUUGAGCGGAGGAGGUCCGAGCGGCCCUGCCUCCCGUGACCGGCGCUCCCGAAUUUUCCUCGGCGUCCGGUGGUCCGCGCGCUUCAGGGGCCUGAGCGUUCUGAGGCGAAGGGGGCGGAGACGCCGAUGCCCAGCUCUGGCUCGCGCGGCCCCGCUCGCUCUGCGCCCGCCAGCGUCUUGUCACUCCCCGCCGCCGACAGGUGUGGGAUGGUACAGAACUUCUGGAGGCCACAAAUGCCCCUUUUCCUGGAGACGCAAUGCAAGGUGAGCUGUUGCACCCAUCUGUGUGACAGCACAGCCUCCCACCCUGAGACCUGGUAUUUCUCUCCACCUGCCUCUUCAGUUUGCUCCCACUCCACUGGCUGCAGGCCCCCAAGACAAUGAGGUUUCUAAGCCAUUAUAUGGUGUCUGGUGAAGACAGAAAAGAAGGCCUUUCCUCCUGCCCUCCCAUCCUCCCUAGGCUUUCUGGCAACAGGAGGACUUCUGGAGGUAAUGUGCCCCCAUGUUGCUGCAAGGCCCCA
rnacentral:lncRNA from 1 species